GACGAACCGUCCAAACGUUGUUCGGAAUCACUGGGCUUAAAGGGCGCGUAGGCGGACUGCCAAGUCCGGGGUGAAAUCUUUCGGCUUAACCGGAAAAGGGCCUUGGAAACUGGCGGUCUCGAGGGAGGUAGGGGCCUGUGGAACUUCGGGUGGAGCGGUGAAAUGCGUUGAUAUCCGAAGGAACGCCGGUGGCGAAAGCGACGGGCUGGAGUCUCUUCUGACGCUGAGGCGCGAAAGCCAGGGGAGCAAACGGG
rnacentral:rRNA from 1 species